rnacentral:rRNA from 1 species
GACGAACGCUGGCGGCGUGCCUAAUACAUGCAAGUCGAGCGAGCGGAACCAACAGAUUUACUUCGGUAAUGACGUUGGGAAAGCGAGCGGCGGAUGGGUGAGUAACGCGUGAGCAACCUGCCUUGGAGUGGGGAAUAACAGCUGGAAACAGUUGCUAAUACCGCAUAAUGCAGCGAGGGGGCAUCCUCUUGCUGCCAAAGAUUUAUCGCUCUGAGAUGGACUCGCGUCUGAUUAGCUGGUUGGCGGGGUAACGGCCCACCAAGGCGACGAUCAGUAGCCGGACUGAGAGGUUGACCGGCCACAUUGGGACUGAGAUACGGCCCAG